CUGUCUCUCUUGUGUCAGGAAGUGUGAUAAUGCCAUGAAAUAUUGCAUGAUGGCCAACCUCAAACCCCGGCGCAUUGUGCUUCAAGGAAUUUGAAACAUAUGCACAUGCCCGUGGAACCGGGGUCGGUGCUCCCACGGGUGUUGUCAUGAAAUUUUAUACUAAAUGACUCUCGGCAACGGAUAUCUCGGCUCUUGCAUCGAUGAAGAACGUAGCGAAAUGCGAUACUUGGUGUGAAUUGCAGAAUCCCGUGAACCAUCGAGUCUUUGAACGCAAGUUGCGCCUGAAGCCAUUAGGCUGAGGGCACGCCUGCCUGGGUGUCACACAUUUGUUGCCCCAUGCCAACACUCACAGGGUGUUGAUAUGGAGUAAGCGCUGGCCUCCCACGAGCCUCGACUCGUGGUUGGCUGAAAAGUGAGUCUGUGGUGAAGGACACCGUGACAAAUGGUGGUUGAGUAAUGCUCUAGGCCAAUCAUGCGUGGCUUCACUAGACAAAGGCUCUGACCCUGUGUGUGUUGAAACGAACGCUCUCACUAGACCUCAGUCAGG
rnacentral:rRNA from 1 species